rnacentral:rRNA from 1 species
GACGAACGCUGGCGGCGUGCCUAAUACAUGCAAGUCGAACGCUUUUUCUUUCACCGGAGCUUGCUCCACCGAAAGAAAAAGAGUGGCGAACGGGUGAGUAACACGUGGGUAACCUGCCCAUCAGAAGGGGAUAACACUUGGAAACAGGUGCUAAUACCGUAUAACACUAUUUUCCGCAUGGAAGAAAGUUGAAAGGCGCUUUUGCGUCACUGAUGGAUGGACCCGCGGUGCAUGAGCUAGUUGGUGAGGUAACGGCUCACCAAGGCAACGAUGCAUAGCCGACCUGAGGGGGUGAUCGGCCACACUGGGACUGAGACACGGCCCAGACUCCUACGGGAGGCAGCAGUAGGGAAUCUUCGGCAAUGGACGAAAGUCUGACCGAGCAACGCCGUGUGAGUGAAGAAGGUUUUCGGAUCGUAAAACUCUGUUGUUAGAGAAGAACAAGGAAGAGAGAGAACGUUCAUCCCUUGACGGUAUCUAACCAGAAAGCCACGGCUAACUACGUGCCAGCAGCAGCCGCCG